rnacentral:rRNA from 1 species
GGGUCAGGAGGUUGGUCGUGCCACCGGUACGUACUGGUCUCACUGAAUCCUCCUUCCUGAAGAACCGUAAUGCCAUUAAUUUGGUGUUGCGGGGAAACAGGACUGUUACUUUGAAAAAAUUAGAGUGUUUAAAGCAAGCUAACGCUUGAAUACAUUAGCAUGGAAUAAUGAAAUAGGACGAUCGAUCCUAUUUUGUUGGUUUCUAGGAUUGACGUA